CAUUUUUGAGGCGCGAUGAGGAAACAUUACAGCAGCUUUGGAAUGAAGCUAAAGAGAGGAUUCGUUUAUAUGAUGCAUUGAACAACAUACCAGAGUAUUGAAACGUAAGAGAAAAGGAAGCCUUCCUCUAAUAUAUGGAUAUUGAGUGAACGUUAUGAAAUGGCAUUGGACUCCACUGGAAAGAUAAUAUUUGAAGACCUGCUGGAACUAGUAGUUAAGAAAAUGCAGUAGUCCAGUGGCAUGUUGCUCACUAUUAAUACAGGUAAGCUCUGUUAGGUCAGAGGCUGCUUUCAGACCUAUUCCCUGAUCCCAGAAUGGA
rnacentral:lncRNA from 1 species